UAGUAAAAUACCAAACUUAGCCUCUAUUC
rnacentral:piRNA from 1 species